GUGUGAUGUUUCUGGGAAUGUGUCACGGAGAAAACGGUUUGUGGAGACAACGAUUACAAACAACGGAAGCUGUGUGUCAAAUUAAGUCGAUUUUAGAGGUCACCACAGCGGAAUGAACCACCAACUAUUAAAGGAAUUUACGCAGCAGAUGCCCAGCCAGCUGCAACCCGGUCACGGUCACAUAAUGAGGACAAGGAGGGUUAUCUCUUUUCAUCAAUUUAUUCAAACUAGUAAUGCAUUAAAACCUGGAGAAGCAGGUUUGAGAGAAACAUCCACAGGUUAAACGUUCGUUAAAGAGGGGGAACAUCCAUGGAAGAAGGACAGUCAGGAAAAAGACGGCAGCGCAGCCCAUCUGGAUGACAGCUGGGCCACUUGUUAUAAACAAAACCAUGAACAGUAAAAAAAAAAAACAAAGACAGUAAAAAAGUAUCAUUUUGGAAAAUGCAAGUUGAAACCUUUUAUGUUUAAUUAAAAAAAUACAAUUGUUAUACAACUGCUGUUUUCGAUAUAGCCAUACCAGCACAGCUUUACAUGUAUAAAGACGUACUACACUAAACAAAGUCUUGCUGUCUUACUUUUUUGUUGUUGUUGAAUCAAAUGAACUCUUCAAGUCAUCUCAACUUACAUCAGAUUAAUUAAAAAUAUUAAUUUAAAGUUUGUAUAACUUAGAGAAUGUACUAAAAACUUGAUUAACUUCAAAUAAAUUAAGCUAAAAUAACAAAACAAAUAACAAUUCAUAUUAUUUUUAUGGUACAUAAGGGCACUGUAAUUAUCAGAGCCCAUGUAAAAACAUCUCAGUACCAUCGACAAACAAUGCAGAGUAUUUAAAAUAUAAAACCAAACCCAAAAUGGUUUAAUAAUUUGAAGCAUUUUCAGAGCUCCAUCUGAUCCCAAUUAGCUGUGGAAAGUAAGAAAAUAAAAUAUUCAGACGACACUACAAAAAAAUGUUGAUCUUCGUUCCCGGUUGUGUUUCGUUAAACACUCUCGCUCUUUGUGGUCAAGCGCUCAUAAAGGACUCAUAGCUCCCGCUUAUUCCUCAGUCCUGCAAAAAUAUUUUUAGCCAAAGUACGCCAAUAAACAUUAAGUCGUGUUUGUGUAGCAUGAGUCCGUACCACGAAUUAUGUCAUAAAUGAAUGGAUGUACGUCACUGAGCAGGGGUGAGUAGGUGGUAUUCUCCAUUAGAUUACAGGACAGGCUCCAGUGAGCUGUCUGCGGGCCGAUCCCACGGAUUUCCACAAGCUUCUAUUUUGGGCCAGAAGGCCUGCUUAUAGUUUGUUCAAAGCCACAGCACCCUAUUAAAGACAGUUAAAGUAAUUGGACGAUGUUUACACAAAGACAAAGACUUGCCACGGCAUUGUUCUUGAAUUUGCAGCGUGCAGGUUUUCCGUAUAGAUGCAUGUAUGUUGGAUAGCAGCUUUGGAGUCUUCAAUCAGGGAGUCUUGACCGUGUGCCUAGCCUUUGAUCUGAAGUCGGAGAAUAAUAAAAGGCAAUAACCUUAAUGAUGCAUCGUCCUGAUGUUGCCCACGCAUGCUGCCUUCCUCCGUUCCCGUUUAAAAUUGCAGUGCUCCCUUAAAAAUCUGAUUUGUAAAUGGGUAGAUUGACAGUAUAAUAGAUAAUAAUCUUUGAGGAAAUGACAAACGGUGUUUUAGGGCUGUGAGGGAGGGCCACCAGCGUUUGCAUGUAGACUAUAACAAGAAUAACACUCUAACACCAAAGUAUUCAUCAACAUUUGGACUUAGAACAAUACUCACUUAAAAAGUGCUACAGAAAAAUGACACAAGUGAAGUAACGCACAGAUUAACUUUUCCUUCAACAUUUAUUUAUGUUAAGUGUUUAAAUUUUAGUGCUAAUAGUUUUCUUUUUUUGUAUUAUACUACUGAAUGCAAUGUAAAAAAUUAUUAUUUUUUUGUGUACAUUGUGCUUCUUUUGUUUUACCAUGUUUAGAAAGCUAUUGGCCUUGUAAUGAUAUGUUAAUGUACAUUAGCAAAAUUUUAUAGGUGGUGUUUUUACAAGUUUAAGCUUCUAUUUAAAGUUUACUGAAGCUUCUGUAUAACCGUUAAUGGAAAAAGUAUACUGUACUGAGAAUAUACUGCAAUUUUACUGUAUUUUCCAUUUUUUUAAAGAAGAAAAAUUCUGAAGAAAAUGGAGAAUGUACUGGCAGACAAUUACCUCUACAUUUUUUUAACGGAAAUUUUACAGAAUUUUCUGUUUUUUGAAAUGAAAGAAAAUCCACAAAAAAUAAAAAUAAAAAGCAGAAAAUGUCCUUGUAAUUUUCUGCCAGUACAAUCUCUUUUAAAAAAUUUUUUUAGUGUAUGUUAGUGCAAUCUUAGAGUCACUUUUUAAAAAAGAUAAUUAGAUGUGUUAGUUAGUUACUUUUUGACAAAGUAGUGUCUUAUGAUAUAUUUUCGAUUUAUAGUUUAAGUUAGCCCUAAGUUUGUAAUGUAUUACUUUUUAAAGUCAUUUUCCUUUUA